rnacentral:lncRNA from 1 species
UGAUGAAUUGCUGAAUGCUACAAACCUGUCACCUCAAUCCAGCCUGGCUAGGAUUCCCUCUGGAUAUAUCAGUGAAGGUGUGUCACCAGCAGUGUCUGCAGUAUGUCCUGCUAGUGACUUACCAGAACGAGCUUCCUCUGAAACCACAGUAAUGGAGUCAGCGCCCAGAGGGAUCCACUCUGCACCAUCAAUGGAUGAGCUACUGGUUUUACCAACUUCUGUUGAUGGGUUUUCACCAGCAGUGUCUGCAAGAUCUUCAAGAGGUACUUUGUCAAAAAGAGCUCCCUCAGAAACAGCAGUGGAGGGGGUAAGAUAUUCUGAAAGUGGUUUAUCAGGGAGCGCUUUCUCUGAAACAGAACUAGUUGAUGCUGCACAGAGAGUGUCCUCAGUCAGGAUACCCAGUAGAGAGGAGAGUGUGGGGAGAACAGCAGAGACACCAGAGAGACACACAUCUCCCAGAGUAUCUCCACAGACAUUUUCAGAGUCAGCUACAGGCUUGUCAUCUAAGCCAGGGCCCCCUCUGAGUGAUUGUCCAACAGAGUCAGGCUCUUUGGAAGUCAUCUUUAAUAUGGAGGAGACUUAUACAACACCAUCUAUGGGGGAGAUUGUUCCUCCAACUCCUGCUGGGGAUGGCAUUUCUGCCUCUACUGAUGAAAGAGCAGCAGAAUCAGCUUCUAGAGAACUGUUGUAUAUGGAUGAGACGUAUAAACCACCAUCAAUGGCAGACCUACCAGGAUCCCCAGCUGCUGUUGGAGGCAUUUCACCAGCAGUGUCUGCUGGAUGUUCACAAAGUGACAUGGCAGAAAAAGCUCCCUCAGAAACAGCAGUAGGCAGACACACAUCUUCCAGAGUACCUCCUAAAGUUCCUCCACAAACAUCCUGGAGCUCAGCUACAGGCUUGGCAUCUAAGUCCAGUUUGGCCAGGGUUCCCUCUGUGUCUCUCAGUGAUGGUGCAAAAGAACCAGCUCAGAUAGACAAAACACUGUCAAUGGAGGAGCUACUGGCAUCUCCAUUGUAUUCUCAGUGGGCAAUGUCACCAGCCGGUUCUGAAAGAGUGUCCUCAGUCAGGAUAUCCAGUAGAGAGGAGAGUGUGGGGAGAACAGCAGAGACACCAGAGAGACACACAUCUCCUGGAGCUUCUCCAAGAGUUUCUCCACAAACCUCUCUUGUAUCAGCUCAUGUUGUUAAAUCUCCGUCUGGUACAGAUAUUUCUCAACAAUCCAGUCUGCCUAGGAUUCCCUCUGCACCAUCAAUGGACAGAUACACAUCUCCCAGAGUUUCUCAAAGAGUUUCUCCACAAUCCAGUCUUGCCAGGAUUCCCUCUGCACCAUCAAUGGAGGAGCUACUGGUGUCUCCAUCUGCUUCUGUUGGUAGAAUUUCUACAGCAGUUUCAAGACGAUCUUUAAGAAGUAGUUUGUCAGAAAGAGCUCCUUCUGAAACAGUCAUAAGAUAUUCUGAAAGCGUUUUAUCAGGAAGAGCUCUCUCUAAAACAGAACUAGUCGAUGCAGCACAGAGAGUGUCCCCAGUCAGGAUACCCAGUAGACAGGAGAGGGUGGGGAGAACACCAGAGAGAUGCACAUCUCCCAGAGUUUCUCCACAAUCCAGUCUGGCCAGGAUUCAAUCUGCACCAUCAAUUGAGGAGCCACUGGUGUCUCCAUCUGCUGCUGUUGGCAGAGAAUCUCCAGCCAGGAGUGGAGUUUCUCUAGUAAUGUCUCUAGGAAUUUCUGCAGCCAAUGUGGUUGGGCCAGUGUGUUUCAAAGAUGUGUCACAGAUUAUGCCGACUAAAAUACCAGAGAAUCAGGGUUCGGCCUCCUCCGCCAGGAUACCCAGUAGACAGGAGAGUGUGGGGAGAACAGCAGAGACACCAGAGAGACACACAUCUCCUGGAGUAUCACCAAGAGCUUCUCCAAGAGUUUCUCCACAAACCUCUCGUACAUUGGCUCAUGUUGGUGAAUCUCCGUCUGGUACAGAUAUUUCUCAACAAUCCAGUCUGCCUAGGAUUCCCUAUGCACCAUCAAUGGACAGAUACACAUUUCCCAAAGUUUCUCAAAGGGUUUCUUCACAAUCCAGUCUGGCCAGGCUUCCCUCUGCACCAUCAAUGGAGGAGCUACUGGUGUCUCCAUCUGCUUCUGUUGGUAGAAUUUCACCAGCAGUUUCAAGAAAAUCUUCAGAAACAGCUCCUUCUGAAACAGUCAUACGAUAUUUUGAAAGUGAUUUAGGAAGAGCUUUCUCUGAAACAGAGCUAGUUGAUGCUGCACUGAGUGUGUCCUCAGUCAGGAUACCAAGUAGACAGGAGAGGGUGGGGAGAACAGCAGAGACACCAGAGAGACAGACAUCUCCCAGAGUUUCUCCAAGAUUUUCUCCACAAACAUCUCUUCUAUCAGCUCAAGUUGGUGAAUCUCUGUCUGGUACAGACAUUGCACCACAAUCCAGUCUGCCCGGGAUUCCAUAUGCAUCAUCAAUAGAGGAGCUACUGAUGUCUCUAACUGCUACUGUUGAAAGAAUUUCACCUGCAGUUUCAAGAUCUUCAAGAAGUAGUUUGUUAGAAAGUGUUUCCUCUGAAAAAGCAACAAUUAAAGCAAUAUACAGAGAAGAGAGUGUAGAGAGAACAGCAGAAACAACAGAGAGUCACACAACUAAACAAGUGUCUUUCAGAGCUCCUUUGGCAACAUCUAAGACAAGACUCGUUUCUGAUGUGGCAAUUUUGUACAGACCAUCCAUUGCUGAAGGCCUUUGUCUUGAGGUCUUGGACAUGGAGUCUGACCAGGUGAAAACACCAAUGAGUGACAUCACUGCACAAGCUCUGUCUCACACUGCAGCAAUGGAAACAGCUCAGGAUACAGUCAGGAUACCCAGUAGAAAGGAGAGUGCAAGGAGAGCAGCAGAAACACAAACAUAUUUUGCAUCAGGAUUGUUGGACAACAGUACACAAGUUUCAGGAACUUCAGUCCACCUUCAUGAAGAGGUGACUGCCCACCCUACAGAAGUGCAGCAGGGGACCCUGCAACUUGGAAUUCCUCUAGGAGUUUCUCUAGCCAAUAUGGUUGGGCCUCAAAACACACGGUCACAGAGUGUGCAGACUGGACCAGAUUAUCAUGGCCCGCCCUUGCAUAGCGUUCCUAUUGAAGCAGGACGUGUCAGUCCUGAUGCUCAGCCUGCCUUCGAGAAUUUCACCAAUCAGGUCUGGACACUAUACCACUUGGCCAAUGAGACGGAGGAGGGCACACUGUCCACUAACACUAUCUCCCAGCCUCCGUUCAAUGGAAGUGCUUUCAUUCGCAACUUUGGGCCUGGACAUGUGUUACUGGCAGAGAGGUCCCCUUCCCCUCAGCAGUCUGACACCCAGUCCUGGUGUGGCCGACCCAGACAACAGCCCCAGCCACCACCUUUCCCGAUGUACCCAAGAAGGGCCUUCACACCCAGGUCACAGAGCACAACCCUUCGCCCUCCACCCCAGCAUCCAACUAUCCUCAACCUGGAGAUCAGCAUCCCCAACUACUUCCUGUUCCUCGAUGGCAACCAGGUGUCCCUGAGCCAGAGCGCUCGUAGUGUUCCGACUGCAAUGUUUUCCAGGUCGAGAUCUGCUGUGGUCAGGGCGGACGACCCCCAGGGGGACCUGUCCUUCUCCGUUCCAAUGGAGAUGGUAAACGGAGGUUCCAGUCGGGACGGUCAGGCCCAGUUCCUGCAGGUCAUCAGUGAUGAAGGAAAUACUGUUUACUCCCCCGCUCUCAUACGCAUUGUCACCUCUGAACCCACAGAGAAAGAGGACCAGGAAGGAUCCGGGAGGUGGCCAACUAGUGCCCCAUUUAAUUGGUAGGGGACUGUUGUCUAGUAUCAAUAAACGUGUGCAUAUCAUUUAAAA